UACGUAGGGGGCGAGCGUUGUCCGGAUUCAUUGGGCGUAAAGAGCUCGUAGGCGGUUCGGUAAGUCGGGUGUGAAAUCUCCGUGCUCAACACGGAGCGGCCACCUGAUACUGCCGUGACUCGAGUCCGGUAGGGGAGUGUGGAAUUCCUGGUGUAGCGGUGAAAUGCGUAGAUAUCAGGAAGAACACCGGUGGCGAAAGCGCUCUGCUAGGCCGCAACUGACACUGAGGGACGAAAGCUAGGGGAGCGAAUGGG
rnacentral:rRNA from 1 species